rnacentral:lncRNA from 1 species
GUUUUUUGUUUUGUUCUUGUUUUUACAUACUCUAGGCUAUUGUUUCACAUUUUGUCACAUCGGGACAUUUUAUAAAUUGUUACGUAUAUACAUUUCGCAUGUGUUGGUUUAUUGUCGAAGGUCGUACGUCGAGUUUUUCGAUUGAAUCGAUGGGUGCAUGGAUAGUUACAAUACAUGUGUCGGAUCGGCAAUUAUAGAACAUUUUCUGUUAUAUCCGUAUUUUGCGUGGAAUUCUCGCCGCGUUGAAGACCCAAUUGCCUUCGUCUAUCGUCUGCUUGUUUUCGAGUCGUUGUCUCUUUUACUUAUUCUCAAUAGCUGCAAAUGUUAAAUAACACCAAGAUUAAAAGCACCAACAGCUAGUGUAUAGUUCGGUUGGUAUAGGCGG